rnacentral:rRNA from 1 species
AUUGAACGCUGGCGGCAGGCUUAACACAUGCAAGUCGAACGCGUGGCGGACGGGUGAGUAAUGCUUGGGAAUCUCGCUUAUGGCGGUGGAUAACUACGGGAAACUGUAGCUAAUACCGCGUACCAUAGGAUGAGCCCACGUGGGAUUAGUGAGUUGGUGAGGUAAAGGCUAACCAAGCCGACGAUCUCUAGCUGGUCUGCGAGGAUGACCAGCCACACGGGGACUGAGACACGGCCCAGACUCCUACGGGAGGCAGCAGUGGGGAAUAUUGCGCAAUGGGGGAAACCUGACGCAGCCAUGCCGCGUGAAUGAAGAAGGACUUCGGGUUGUAAAGUUCUUUCGGUAGCGAGGCGUUAACUACAGAAGAAGCACCGGCGAACUCCGUGCCAGCAGCCGCGGUAAUAC